UUGAGGGCCAUAGAAGCUAACAAGGAGUUGACACUGAAGCAAUUCUGGAAGGGCUACAACAUUGCAGAUGCAGUGAAGAACAUUGCAAGUGCUUGGGACGAGGUGAAGACGACCACUUUAAAUGGGGCCUGGAGGAAACUGUGUCCACAGUUUGUGCACAGUUUUGAAGGCUUUGACCAGGCAGAAGACGUCGAGACUGUGACGAGGAAGAUCGUAGGGCUAAGCAAGAGGCUGCAACUAGAUCUUGAACCUGAUGAUGUAACAGAGCUGCUGGCUUCCCAUGGAGAGGAAUUGUCUGCAGAGGACUUACUAGAACUUGCAACAAAUGAUUGAGGAAGAGGAGGCGGCACCAGAGCCAAAACCCAGGUCAUUAACUGUGAAAGGCUUGUCAGAGGGUUUUACUCAUCUGGAGAGAGCCUUGGCUUCUUUUGAGGCAGAAGACCCUAACGUUUCUAGGUUUGACAAAAUCAAGAGAGGAAUCAUGGAUUUGGUGACUUUCUACAAGGAGACCCUGAAGGAGAAGCAGACGAAGAGAAGUGUGCAGUCCAGGCUUGACACUUUCUUUCACAAGUCUCCAGUACCACCACCUCCCACUCCUAGUCCUGGUAAGGAAUUCUGAACUGUUUUACUAAUUUAUGUGUUUUACAUAGUGUACAUAUUAAAAUGUGUUAAUUUUUUAAUGUAACAACUAAAUGUAAGAGUAAAUUGUAACUUCAUUAAUUUUCAUCAUUUGUAAUUUUAUUGCAGAAGUGGUGACAGUUCCAGAUCCCCCUGUACUACCUGUGACAGUUCAGAUCUCCCUGUACUACCUGUGACAGUUCCAGAUCUCCCUGUACUACCUGUUACAGUUCCAGAUCCCCCUGUACCUGGACCCUCUGUAUCAGCCCGCCCACCUGCACGUGUACAAUCAGACCCCUUUGAUAGUGACAGUGACCCAGAUGACCCUGAGCCUUUCCAUGGUUUUGAUGCCUCGCCCUAUACAUCAGAUCUAGAUGUUCCCUCAUCAGUUGAUACGAGUAUCACCUCUCCAGAGCCCAAAUCAGUUGAUACAAGUAGUAUCACCUCUCCCAUUCCUUCAGACUCCCAAGCACCUGCCCAUCCCACUCCAUAGCCCAGCCACCCACUCUCAUGUACCAUAUGGCCAUCCCAGUAAGCAAGCCAACCACUAGAAUUUGGUAAGGACAUUUUUUUUUAUUAAUGUUUUAAUAUUACAUAUGUAAUAACCAUGUUAUGUAUGUAACAUACAUACUAUAAUCAUAUGUAUUACAU